AGUGCGCACUGUUCUUCUUUGAACGUACGCAAUUAUUGCGGUCACCCACCCUCCAGAAAAAGGUUUAUUCUUGUCCGUUGGAUUCCGUGAAUGCUCAGACAUCGUCUUUCCGCUUUAGCUGUGUGUUCCAGAGUUGCAGAAAACUUCUUUUCCUUUACCAGUCUUGGACAUAAGGCUUUGAAAAACCCAAACAAAUGUAAUCUGCAGAGAAGCUAGUCUUGGGGGAAUCAUCUUCAAUGGCCUCUUCAAUGAUCAACCAAAAAGAUUCUGCUUCUCACUGGAAUUAUGACGUGUUCCUGAGUUUCAGAGGUGAAGACACCCGCAGGAGUUUUACCGAUCAUCUCUAUGCUGCUUUGGUUGAGAAAGGGGUUCGCACUUUUAGAGAUGACGAAGAACUUGAGAGAGGAAAAGAGAUUGCACCAGAGCUUUUGAAAGCUAUCGAAGAAUCAAGAAUUUCCGUGGUGGUUUUCUCCAAGAAUUAUGCUCGUUCGGGGUGGUGUAUGGAUGAGCUAGUGAAGAUCAUUGAGUGCAUGAAAGCGAAGGGACAGACAGUUCUUCCAGUUUUCUAUGAUGUGGAUCCGACCCAUGUCCGGAAGCAGACUGGGAGUUUCAUGGAAGCAUUUGCUAGUCAUGGAGAAGACACAGAGGUGAUAGAGAGGGCUAAAAGGUGGAGAGCUGCCUUGACUCAAGCAGCCAAUUUAUCUGGAUGGCACCUGCAGAAUGGGUACGAGUCGAAGCUUAUUAAGAAAAUUAUUGAAGAGAUUUUGAGUAAAUUGAGUCGAAAAUUGUUAUAUGUUGACAAACAUCUAGUUGGAGUGUCUUCUCGUUUGAAAGAAAUACUUCUACGAGUAAGUAUUGAAUCAAAUGAUGUUCGUAUGGUUGGGAUCUGUGGAAUAGGUGGAGUGGGUAAGACAACUAUAGCCAAAGUUGUUUAUAAUCUAAUCUCUAGUCAAUUUGAGGGCAUUAGCUUCCUUGCAAAUAUUAGAGAAGUCUCCAAAAACUGUGGUUUGCUUCCAUUACAGAAACAACUUCUAGGUGAUAUUUUGAUGGGAUGGAGUCAAAGGAUAAGCAAUCUCGAUGAAGGAAUCAAUGUGCUAAUGGACAGACUUCACUCUAAAAAGGUUCUUAUUAUUCUUGAUGACGUGGAUGAUUUGAAUCAAUUAGAAUCCUUAGCUGGAAAUGUUGAUUGGUUUGGUAUUGGAAGUAGAAUUGUUAUAACAACUAGAGAUAAACAUCUACUAAAUGUGCAUGGAGUGAGUGAAAUAUAUGAGGCUAAGGAAUUAGAACCAGAGGAAGCUCUUCAACUUUUCAGUCAAUAUGCUUUCAAAAGAAAAAGUCCAGAUAAAGAUUAUAUGAACCUCUCUGACAAUGUAGUACAUUAUGCUAAAGGCCUUCCACUGGCUCUUAAAGUUUUGGGUUCUUUCCUAUUUAGUAAGACAAUACUUGAGUGGGAAAGUGAAUUACAUAAGCUAAAAAAGGAGCUUAAUACAAAGGUUCAAGAUGUUCUUAGAAUAAGUUUUGAUGGAUUAGAUUUUACACAGAAGGAGAUAUUUCUUGAUCUUGCGUGCUUUUUUAAAGGACAGGAGUAUGAUUUUGUUAUAAAAAUACUAGAUGGUUGCGGAUUUCAUGCAAAGAGUGGCAUAAGAGUUCUCAGUGACAGGUGCCUCAUAGACUUGUUAGAUAACAGGUUAUGGAUGCAUGAUUUGAUACAACAAAUGGGUUGGGAAAUUGUACGCCAAGAAUGUCCUAAAGAUCCUGGAAAAUGGAGCAGACUAUGGGAUUAUGAGCAUAUCUACAGUGUAUUGAAGAAAAAUACGGGAACAGAAACCAUUGAAGGCAUAUUCCUUGAUAUGUAUAGAUCAAAGGAGAUACAAUUUACUACAGAAGCCUUUGCUAAGAUGAAUAGACUCAGAUUACUUAAAGUUUUUAAUUUUUCGGGCAUUGGAAAAGAAGGCUAUAAAGAGCCCCUUUCUGUAUCUUUUGAAUUUCCUUCUUAUGAGUUAAGAUAUCUCUAUUGGCAUGGAUACCCUUUUGGGUCUCUGCCAUCCAAAUUUCAUUCAGAGAACCUCAUUGAGCUGAACAUGUGUUAUAGCUAUAUGAGAGAACUUUGGAAGGGAAAUGAGGUUCUUGAUAAUUUAAAUACUAUCGAACUCAGUAACUCUCAACAUCUCAUCCAUUUGCCAAACUUCUCAAGCAUGCCAAAUCUAGAGAGACUAGUUCUUGAAGGUUGUACAAGUUUUCUUGAGGUUGACCCAUCUAUUGAAGUUCUAAACAAGCUUAUUUUCUUGAAUCUGAAAAACUGCAAAAAACUAAGGAGUUUUCCAAGAAGUAUUAAGUUGGAAUGCCUUAAAUAUCUGUCUCUUUCUGGGUGUUCAGAUCUCAAGAAUUUUCCAGAAAUUCAAGGCAAUAUGCAACAUUUGUCUGAGCUUUAUUUAGAUGGGACAGCAAUUAGUGAAUUACCUUUCUCCAUUGGGUAUCUCACAGGACUCAUUCUGUUAGAUUUGGAAAAUUGCAAAAGGCUUAAGUCUCUUCCAAGUAGCAUUUGUAAGUUGAAAUCCCUUGAGACUCUCAUUCUCUCUGCUUGCUCAAAACUAGAGAGUUUUCCUGAAAUCAUGGAGAACAUGGAACAUUUAAAAAAGCUUCUUUUGGAUGGAACUGCCUUAAAACAGCUGCACCCAUCAAUUGAACAUCUAAAUGGCCUUGUUUCUCUGAACCUGAGAGAUUGCAAAAACCUUGCAACUCUUCCUUGCAGCAUUGGUAACUUGAAAUCUCUUGAGACACUUAUUGUUUCUGGUUGUUCAAAGCUCCAACAAUUGCCAGAGAACCUGGGUAGUUUGCAAUGUUUAGUGAAGCUUCAGGCAGAUGGAACACUCGUAAGGCAACCACCUUCCUCAAUUGUUCUUUUAAGAAAUCUUGAAAUAUUGUCGUUUGGGGGAUGUAAAGGACUUGCAUCUAACUCAUGGAGUUCACUCUUCUCAUUCUGGUUGUUGCCAAGAAAAAGUUCAGACACCAUUGGUUUGCAAUUGCCUUCUUUGUCGGGUUUGUGCUCCUUAAGAGAACUAGAUAUAAGUGACUGCAAUCUAAUGGAGGGAGCAGUGCCCUUUGAUAUCUGCAACUUAUCCUCAUUGGAAACAUUAAAUCUAAGCAGAAACAACUUUUUCAGCUUACCUGCAGGCAUUAGUAAGCUUUCAAAACUAAGAUUCCUCUCCUUGAACCACUGCAAGAGUCUCUUACAAAUUCCCGAGCUCCCAUCAAGUAUAAUAGAAGUAAAUGCACAAUAUUGUUCAUCCCUUAACACUAUAUUAACCCCAUCUAGUGUCUGCAAUAACCAGCCUGUUUGCCGUUGGCUAGUAUUUACACUCCCAAAUUGUUUCAAUCUGGAUGCUGAAAACCCAUGCAGUAAUGAUAUGGCAAUUAUAUCACCCAGAAUGCAGAUUGUCACAAAUAUGCUACAGAAACUUCAGAAUUUUCUUCCAGAUUUUGGGUUUAGCAUUUUUCUUCCUGGAAGUGAAAUUCCAGACUGGAUCUCGAAUCAGAAUCUCGGAUCUGAAGUGACAAUAGAGCUGCCUCCUCAUUGGUUUGAAAGUAACUUCUUAGGAUUUGCUGUAUGCUGUGUUUUUGCAUUUGAGGACAUAGCCCCCAAUGGAUGCAGUUCCCAACUUCUGUGUCAAUUGCAAUCUGAUGAAUCUCAUUUUAGAGGCAUUGGUCAUAUUUUGCAUUCAAUCGAUUGUGAAGGCAAUAGUGAAGACAGACUCAAGUCACAUCACAUGUGGCUAGCAUACAAGCCCCGUGGACGACUUCGGAUCUCCUAUGGUGAUUGCCCCAAUAGAUGGAGGCAUGCUAAGGCUUCAUUUGGCUUCAUUAGCUGUUGUCCAAGCAACAUGGUGAGAAAGUGUGGGAUCCAUCUUAUAUACGCUCAAGAUCAUGAAGAGAGAAACUCAACCAUGAUCCACCACAGCUCUUCUGGGAAUUUCAGUGACCUCAAAUCAGCAGAUUCCAGUGUGGGUGCAAGUGGAAGUGGCCUCUGUUGCUCUGUGGUCCAUUCAAGUAAUUGGUGGGGAUACUAGACAAAAGGCAUAGCAAAUAACUCAGAUCAGAUGUGAUGAUUAUCAGGGUCUAAUUAUUUGGCACUUCCACUGAAGGAAAUACUAGAUAAGAGUAAUUUUGCAGUGCUUCUAACAAUUUAUUUCUAGGUAAGAAGGUGCUAAUGAUUAUGCAGCUGACAUUUAAAUGACAAAGGUCAUUAGAGGGAUUUAGUUAACUAGUCCAUCUGUUCAUUGCUUUUGGGGUUCAUCCAGAACCAAAGGAUGGAUCUCUUGGAGUGUAAGAGAUUGAUUUCUUUCCUAACGCCCAGUCGACUAACCCGUGUCUUUUUCCUUGUGUUUUUCCGAGGGGAAACAUGGUGAAAGGAAGAAUACCAGAAUAUACAAUAGAAGAAGAAGAUGUCAAAAUGUAUUUGCUUGACUUUCUUUUGAUGCUUCAAUGCAGUUUAUUAUGGGUGCUCGACGCAUGGAGGAGUUGAUCUGCUUUUUGCGCUUAGGGCCUUUUGGUUUUGUGAAGGCCGGGGCUAUUAAUUGUAGUGGACCACUGGCUCAUUAGAUUUUUUAACCAGUGGGAAAGAAGCUCAAAUCGCAAAAUAAGGUUUGAAAAACGCAUUUUGGAGGAUUGGAUAAGUGAAGAAAGGAUCAAGAUAGAUGAAGAAAACAUUGAAGAAAGAAUUAGGGGGCAAGAACAAAGGUUACAUUGGAAUGGAAGAUGUGGUGCCAGAUGCAUUUCGAUAUAAGCAAAGAAGUAUCAAAUCAUAAUGGUCACUGAGGAAUUGAAGCACAUGAAAUCAACAAAAGGGGUCAUUUUGAUACAUUAGUUGUGGUAUUGAAAUAUGAUUCAGUAUUAGAGAUUUUUCAUUUUUGUUGAACCUAUUGUCGAGAUAUGUUGUAAUUCAUAGUGAUGUGUCGAAAAGCAUUUUGAUACUGAACUUUCAGUUUUGACAUAUUAUUGUAAAAACUUCAAUUCUAGCUU